rnacentral:rRNA from 1 species
GAAUGCUGACAUAAGUAACGAUAAAGCGGGUGAAAAGCCCGCUCGCCGGAAGACCAAGGGUUCCUGUCCAACGUUAAUCGGGGCAGGGUGAGUCGACCCCUAAGGCGAGGCCGAAAGGCGUAGUCGAUGGGAAACGGGUUAAUAUUCCCGUACUUGGUGUUACUGCGAAGGGGGGACGGAGAAGGCUAUGUUGGCCGGGCGACGGUUGUCCCGGUUUAAGCGUGUAGGUGUGUGUUCCAGGUAAAUCCGGUUCACUUUAACACUGAGGCGUGACGACGAGGCACUACGGUGCUGAAGCAACAAAUGCCCUGCUUCCAGGAAAAGCCUCUAAGCAUCAGGUAACACGAAAUCGUACCCCAAACCGACACAGGUGGUCAGGUAGAGAAUACCAAGGCGCUUGAGAGAACUCGGGUGAAGGAACUAGGCAAAAUGGUGCCGUAACUUCGGGAGAAGGCACGCUGACACG